rnacentral:rRNA from 1 species
CCUACGGGAGGCAGCAGUGGGGAAUAUUGCGCAAUGGGCGAAAGCCUGAUGCAGCAACGCCGCGUGCGCGACGAAGGCCUUCGGGUCGUAAAGCGCUUUUCGGGGAGACGAGCAAGGACGGUAUCCCCGGAAUAAGGCUCGGCUAACUACGUGCCAGCAGCCGCGGUAAAACGUAGGAGCCAAGCGUUAUCCGAAUUCACUGGGCGUAAAGCGCGUGCAGGCGGCCUGGUAAGUUGGAUGUGAAAGCUCCUGGCUCAACUGGGAGAGGACGUUCAAGACUGUCAGGCUCGAGGGCAGCAGAGGGAGGUGGAAUUCCCGGUGUAGUGGUGAAAUGCGUAGAUAUCGGGAGGAACACCAGUGGCGAAGGCGGCCUCCUGGGCUGCACCUGACGCUCAGAUGCGAAAGCUAGGGGAGCGAACGGGAUUAGAAACCCCGGUAGUCCUAGCCGUAAACGAUGUAGACUGGGUGUUGGCGGGGUAAAAGCCGUCAGUGCCGAAGCAAACGCGAUAAGUCUACCGCCUGGGGACUACGGCCGCAAGGUUAAAACUCAAAGGAAUUGACGG